UAGGGAAUCUUCGGCAAUGGGGGGAACCCUGACCGAGCAACGCCGCGUGAGUGAAGAAGGUUUUCGGAUCGUAAAGCUCUGUUGUUAAGGAAGAACGAGUGUGAGAAUGGAAAGUUCAUGCUGUGACGGUACUUAACCAGAAAGGGACGGCUAACUACGUGCCAGCAGCCGCGGUAAUACGUAGGUCCCGAGCGUUGUCCGGAUUUAUUGGGCGUAAAGCGAGCGCAGGCGGUUAGAUAAGUCUGAAGUUAAAGGCAGUGGCUCAACCAUUGUAGGCUUUGGAAACUGUUUAACUUGAGUGCAGAAGAGGAGAGUGGAAUUCCAUGUGUAGCGGUGAAAUGCGUAGAUAUAUGGAGGAACACCAGUGGCGAAGGCGACUCUCUGGUCUGUAACUGACGCUGAGGUUCGAAAGCGUGGGUAGCAAACAGG
rnacentral:rRNA from 1 species